UAUGGCCAUAUCGUAUUGAAACACAGGUUCCCAUACAAUCACCAAAGUUAAGCAACAUCAAGCAUGGUCAGUAUCCAGAUGGGUGACUGUUUGGGAAUACCAGGUGCUGUAAG